GACGAACGCUGGCGGCGUGCCUAACACAUGCAAGUCGAACGAAGCAUAGUAAUAUGCUUAGUGGCGGACGGGUGAGUAACGCGUGAACAAUCUGCCCUGUACAAAGGAAUAGCCUCGGGAAACUGGGAUUAAAACCAUAUAACACUUUAGUACCGCAUGGUACAGAAGUCAAAUUGAUUAAGAGGUAUAGGAUGAGUUCGCGUCUGAUUAGCUAGUUGGUAAGGUAACGGCUUACCAAGGCGACGAUCAGUAGCCGGCCUGAGAGGGUGAACGGCCACACUGGAACUGAGACACGGUCCAGACUCCUACGGGAGGCAGCAGUGGGGAAUAUUGCACAAUGGAGGAAACUCUGAUGCAGCGACGCCGCGUGAGUGAAGAAGGUCUUCGGAUCGUAAACUACUGUCC
rnacentral:rRNA from 1 species